GACGAACGCUGGCGGCGUGCCUAAUACAUGCAAGUCGAACGCACUCUCGUUUAGAUUGAAGGAGUUUGCUCCUGAUUGAUAAACAUUUGAGUGAGUGGCGGACGGGUGAGUAACACGUGGGUAACCUGCCCUAAAGUGGGGGAUAACAUUUGGAAACAGAUGCUAAUACCGCAUAAAACCUAACACCGCAUGGUGUAGGGUUGAAAGAUGGUUUCGGCUAUCACUUUAGGAUGGACCCGCGGUGCAUUAGUUAGUUGGUGAGGUAAAGGCUCACCAAGACCGUGAUGCAUAGCCGACCUGAGAGGGUAAUCGGCCACACUGGGACUGAGACACGGCCCAGACUCCUACGGGAGGCAGCAGUAGGGAAUCUUCCACAAUGGACGAAAGUCUGAUGGAGCAACGCCGCGCGAGUGAAGAAGGUUUUCGGAUCGUAAAACUCUGUUGUUGGAGAAGAAUGUAUCUGAUAGUAACUGAUCAGGUAGUGACGGUAUCCAACCAGAAAGCCACGGCUAACUACGUG
rnacentral:rRNA from 1 species